rnacentral:lncRNA from 10 species
GCCACCCUGAGUAAGUUAAACAGGGCUUGGAAGCAGGCAGCCCAAAGGAGAGAGGGCUGGCUCUGAUAUCAACCUCGAGAUAUCAGAUUACAAGACUGAAAUGGGAGCCUCUAAGUUCCUUAAACAAGCGGCCUUCAAAAUGCAGAGUGUGCACUCUAGGGGCACUAGCUCCUCUCCUCUACUAAGCCAAAAUCUCAAAGGCUAGCAUACAUUGGAGCAUCUUCCCUUGAUGGAACAGCCCUCUCAGGGAGCCACAUAGAAAACAGGUAGAUUUGCACCACAUCUGAUGCUUUUGCUACCCUGGACAUGAGAAACUGCUUAUAUAUAACUUGGAUUAUCCUAUCCACCCCUGGGAGAUAAAAAGGCAUUAGAGUUUUGAAGAAGAUUGGUCUUUACUUUCUUUAAGAAAUUCUAUUUGUUGAAUGAAUGUGUAUAUGAAUGUAAAAAUGAAUCAAUGAAUGCAUGAAACUUUAAGUUUAUAAUAGGAAAUUAAUCUUGGGGUCAAAUGAGAAAUUAUGAAGAUCCAUUCUUUUCAUGGCAUCCCAAAACUGUCACCCUUCAAAACAAUUUGCACAGCCUGCUCAUGAAGGGGUACAUAGCAUUUUGGAAGGUAAGAGACCUGGAGGAAACUUUCCUCACCUUGUCAGGUGCCUACUUUGUGCUGAUCACUGCCCUAGGACUAGCACAUGUUUUCUUGUAUAUUUAAUCCUCCAGGAAGCUUUGAGAUAGGUACCAUUCCUCUCAUUUGACAGAUCAGAAGACUAGCUUUUUAAGACUGUAAGUAUCUGUCAGCAAAUCACACAGCUGGUAACAGGUGGAGCAGGGGUCAGAACUUAGCUCUGUGGCUACGAAGCCCAUGUACGUCUUACUGUUCCACAAUGCCUUCUUUACGACUCUAGCCAACGGGCACUCUUGGAAAACAGACUUCUGAAAGGUACUGUUACCAUUGACUCCACAAAGGUAUAGUUGAAGAAAUAAAAGCACUUUU